rnacentral:rRNA from 1 species
UACAGAGGUCCCGAGCGUUGUUCGGAUUUAUUGGGCGUAAAGGGUGCGUAGGUGGCAAAGUAAGUUGGAUGUGAAAUCCUGGGGCUCAACCUCAGAAUUGCAUUCAAUACUGCUUGAGCUAGAGAGCUGUAGAGGAGACUGGAAUUUACGGUGUAGCAGUGAAAUGCGUAGAUAUCGUAAGGAACGCCAGUGGCGAAAGCGAGUCUCUGGGCAGCAUCUGACACUGAGGCACGAAGGCCAGGGGAGCAAACGGG